GUGGUAUUAGCUCAGUUGGUUAGAGCGUCGGGUUGUGGUCCCGAAGGUCGCCGGUUCGAAUCCGGUAUACCACCCCA
rnacentral:tRNA from 1 species